UAUGCAAGCAAGUGAAGACUGUUCUAUUCC
rnacentral:piRNA from 1 species